CCCAUCAGUGUUUGGACAGUUCAUGAGUUGGGGUCUCAGUGAGUUUGAAUGAGGAAAGAAAUCAAUCCGAGGCCCUGAAAAGUGAUACAGAAAUACUUCUGAAGAAUUCACAUCAGUGGUCAGGCACAGUGUCACAGGUCUGUCAUCCCUGCACUCCAGGGGGCUGAGACAGGAGGACUGCAAAUUUGAGGUGAGCCUGGGCAACUUAGCAGCUCAGGAGAGGAGAUUCUGUCUCAGAAUUUAAAAACAUGAAAAUGCCGGGGAUGCAGCACAGUGAGGAGGCCUGGGCUUCAUUCCCCAGGCCACAUUUUCUUCAGGGUUUCUACCUCCCCUCUCUGCUCCAUCAUGCUGGGCCAUUCUCCACCCACCCCCAGCAUCCCCGCUGCCAUGGCAACCAUCAUAAAUGCAAGGCUGCUGUGAUUUGAAUCCCCACUCCCACCUCAGUUCAUGUCCUGGAAACUCAGUUCCCAGGCACCAGGCUUGGGAAAAGGGGACCUGAGACAGCCAGUGAGUCCAGGGGCUCCUCCCUAGGGAUCGGAUCCAACUCGGUCAUCCUCACAGCAGGGUGGCUGUGAAGCACAUCUGUUCCCUCUUGCUGUCUCUUGUGUCUUUUUGCCAGGUGAUGCCAGACCCCAGAGGAUGGGACAGGAAGAAGACCCUCUCCAAGGGGACCCUUUCCUCUCACACUGUCCAGCAUCCAGGGCCAUAAGCCAAAUCAGCUCCUAUCCUUUGUCAGUCACAUAUUCUGCCGUGUUCCCUGAGCAUUGCAGAAAAGCCAUGGAGGUCAUCAUACAAGGUUUGUUAGUAAAAUCUCCCAUGUUACCAGGUGAAAGCAGCUCCGAGCAUUGGCUCCGCUGUGCUGGCCCCGUUGAGGGCUUUGCCCGUGUGCAGUUCACGCUUCCUUCAGUCUUUGACGCUCCCAGUGAAACAGCCUCACUGUAAACACUAAGCUUGAACAUUCUUCACCCUGGAGCCUGCUUGAAGCACAAAGGAAUUUUGUAAGAAGCCCAGCCGCCCAGCCUCGGUUAACUGACUGUGGAGGAAAUGUGGGCUCCUGCAGCUUUGGAAAACUGUCCCACGUGAGUCAGGUGCCCGGGGAGGACCCCGCACUCCUGUGGCAGAAGCUGGGGAGGCCUCAGUCCAAUCCUCAGGGAGCUCCUUGCCUCAGUAAAAAGUUCAUUACCAGAGCAUCACGAGGGAGAAGGAAGCCUCAUAGGAAAGACAAGAAAGGUAAAAAUAACUUGCAUUCUGCUGCUGAGUUUCUGCACUAAACGUAUUUAUUUUAGGGACAGGCUUGCUGGAGUUGCCAGGAAGAUGCCCGGGAAGUUUUAUGAACCAGCAUCAUGCCCAAUCCAGGAGGACAAGAGGUUAAGGUGAACUAUGUGACAAAGAGCAGAUUUGUUCCUUGGGUCCCUGACUUGGGGCGCAGUGGCUGAUUGCAAAGCAUGUAAAACAGAAAGUCUGCUACUUCCUCUGGAUGAAACUGAGCUACACGUGGAGGCUGACACUGUCAGAGGGUACUUUGUCAGUAUUCUCAACCACAGCACAACACCCAGCACCCACAGAUGAAGAGAAGAGAAGUUUAAUUGGGCUCACAGUUCCCGAGGAUUCAUUUCGUGGUCCGAUGGCUCCAAGUCAGAAAGAGCAUGGUGGAGAGGUUAGAUGGAGCAAAUCUCUUGGUGGGCAAGAAGCAGAACAGGGGAACAGUACCAGAGAGCAAGGAACCAGACAGUACCAUGGCCAUGCCUCCAUGGCCCACCCGGAAGUAUGCUCUGCCAAUCUUCCAGAUGGAUCCCAAAGCCAAUCAGAUCGACAGCCAUCCCAAGUGCCACUGAGGGCUUCAUGAUACCCAACAGAGAGUCCCAUGAUGCAGCCCCAAGCACCGUCACCAUGUCUCAGAAGCCCACUCAGAGACUGGUUUGAGAUCUGCCCAGUCUUGUCUACUGGUGCCCGACUGAUAGUACAUCGGCUCCCCACUCUACGUGCAGCUCCUAGCUGUGGAAGAGAAGAUUUGGGUGUCAUCAUCCACCACAGGCCACUCUGCCCCCCAGGAGCAGGUCUCAGGUUUGCAUUUCCUGUCAACUCAGAGACUCCCAGUGGAGCUAGGGCGUCUUCAUCUUCCUUCUGGCAACCACACACACGGGCCCUGUGUUUCAUGACCUGUGAGCCCGUUAGAGCAAUCUGUACUCAAAGGGAAGCUCACGCAUCAGGCACGGGCCAGACCACAAGCCACACCCAUUCCCCGUGGACACUACUGUGGGUGCUAUGCUCUCAUUCACCCCCGAGAAACUCGGAUCCUGUGCAUGGCCUGGCUGCAGCCGCUGCUGUUUGGCCAGAAGGAGGAUCAGAGCCUGAAGGCUGCCGAUUCCGUGUGCUUUGCAGGAAGUCCCAGUGUGACUGCUGCAGGACCCUGGGCUGGGAGGGUCUUGAGUCUGUGCAUUCAGGUCUGGUGACCAAGCAGAAGCUGCAGCUGGUGAAAACUCACUCCCAGCUCUGGACCACAGGCGCCACGGGAUACAGAGCCCUGGGUUUGUGCCAAAAGUAGCACCAGACAGACAGGGAGCUUGGGUGCAGGAAGCUGAGGCUGGAGAGACUCUGGAUGGGUCUUCUUGUCACCUGGGCUCACAGGAGGAUGUCUCAGCCUCGGGAUUUGAUGGCCCCAUCCAGGCUCCGCUUCUUCUGGGACCAAAGAGGACGCAGAUGUCAUGACUGACAAAUGGGCUGUCUUGCCCCUCCCACCAAAAUACCUGGGAAAUAAAAACAGUCAUCUUUAGACCUCGCA